UACGGAGGGUGCGAGCGUUGUCCGGAAUCAUUGGGCGUAAAGCGCACGUAGGCGGGUCAUCAAGUCGGAUGUGAAAUCCCUCGGCUUAACCGAGGACGUGCAUUCGAAACUGAUGGUCUUGAGUACGAAAGAGGAUCGCGGAAUUCCCGGUGUAGAGGUGAAAUUCGUAGAUAUCGGGAGGAACACCAGUGGCGAAGGCGGCGAUCUGGGUCGAUACUGACGCUGAGGUGCGAAGGCGUGGGGAGCAAACAGG
rnacentral:rRNA from 1 species